CUGGGAGACUUUGUGUAUUCUUAACUCCGCGACCCCCCUUGGGCCCCCUCCCUCGCUGCGCUUUGCAGUUUGGUGCUGGCAGUUUCUACCAAAGCGCUUUUUUAUCUUUUCUUCUUUUAAAAAAUGUUACAUCGCCCUGCUCCUUCAGCCAUAGCCGCAUGUGUGCGUGUGCGUGCGUGUUGACUGUGACACGGGUGUUACAUUUUUUCCUGUGCCCCUUCUCCCUGUAGGGUGAAGCUCUGGGCCUCGGCUUUUGGUGGGGAGAUAAAAUCCAUUGCUGCUAAGUACUCCGGUUCCCAGCUUCUGCAAAAGGCAAAUACAUGAAUACCAAACCACCCGAUAAUUGUGAAAUCCAUUGGGCCUGAGCCGACACAGUUAUUGUUUCCAGUUUUUGAUGAAGACAUAGCCAUGUGUCAGCAUGAGCAAAAGUAAAAGAAAUGCGAAACCAUCACCCCCAGCACCUGUGGCCCUUCCAGGUAGCUUGUCCCAAGGACAGGCAUCAGUGUCUGAGCACCUCUGCUUUGAUCCAUCCUCUGGGCAGAUUUACCCAGUCUGCCCUUGUAGAGUCUGGCCAAGUGAGGUUUUGUCCAACCAGAUUGUGAGAUAACAUGGUGUGAUGUUGUACAGCCACCUUUAAAAAAUCCGUGAUCUUGUUGCAGAUGUACAAUUCUGUUCCGUCAAACAAACAAACAAAAAAC
rnacentral:lncRNA from 1 species